GGACGAACGCUGGCGGCGUGCCUAAUACAUGCAAGUCGAGCGAAUCAAUGGGAGCUUGCUCCCUGAGAUUAGCGGCGGACGGGUGAGUAACACGUGGGCAACCUGCCUAUAAGACUGGGAUAACUUCGGGAAACCGGAGCUAAUACCAGAUAAUAAUUGGAACUGCAUAGUUYCAAUUUGAAAGAUGGCYYCGGCUAUCACUUAUAGAUGGGCCCGCGGCGCAUUAGCUAGUUGGUAAGGUAAUGGCUUACCAAGGCGACGAUGCGUAGCCGACCUGAGAGGGUGAUCGGCCACACUGGGACUGAGACACGGCCCAGACUCCUACGGGAGGCAGCAGUAGGGAAUCUUCCGCAAUGGACGAAAGUCUGACGGAGCAACGCCGCGUGAGUGAUGAAGGUUCUCGGAUCGUAAAGCUCUGUUGUUAGGGAAGAACAAGUGCCGUUCAAAUAGGGCGGCACCUUGACGGUACCUAACCAGAAAGCCACGGCUAACUACGU
rnacentral:rRNA from 1 species